CCUACGGGUGGCAGCAGUGAGGAAUAUUGGUCAAUGGACGCAAGUCUGAACCAGCCAUGCCGCGUGCAGGAAGACGGCUCUAUGAGUUGUAAACUGCUUUUGUACGAGGGUAAACGCAGAUACGUGUAUCUGUCUGAAAGUACCGUACGAAUAAGGAUCGGCUAACUCCGUGCCAGCAGCCGCGGUAAUACGGAGGAUUCAAGCGUUAUCCGGAUUUAUUGGGUUUAAAGGGUGCGUAGGUGGUCGGAUAAGUUAGAUGUGAAAUCCUGAGGCUCAACUUUGGAAUUGUCUCUGAUACUGUUCGUCUAGAGAGUAGUUGAGGUAGGCGGAAUUGAUGGUGUAGCGGUGAAAUGCUUAGAGAUCAUACAGAACACCGAUUGCGAAGGCAGCUUACCAAGCUACUUCUGACGUUGAGGCACGAAAGUGUGGGGAGCAAACAGGAUUAGAUACCCGAGUAGUC
rnacentral:rRNA from 1 species